rnacentral:tRNA from 1 species
GCGGGAGUAUCUCAGUCGGUAGAGAGUCUGCCUUCCAAGCAGAAUGUCGCGCGUUCGAGUCGCGUCUCCCGCUCCA